rnacentral:rRNA from 1 species
GUCUACAACCAUGCUACCCUGAACAAGCCCGAUACCUUCUGAUCUCGGAAGCUAAGCAGGUUUGGGCCUGGUUAGUACUUGGAAGGGAGACCACCUAGGAAGACCAGGUGCUGUAGGUG